ensembl:snRNA U6 U6 spliceosomal RNA
GUGCUCACUUCAGCAGCACAAAUACUAAAAUUGGAACGAUACAGAGAAGAUUAGCAUGGGCCCUGUGCAAGGAUGACACACAAAUUUGUGAAGCGUUCCAUUUAAAA